UACAGAGGGGGCAAGCGUUUAUUCGGAAUUAUUGGGCGUAAAGGGCGCGUAGGCGGCUAGGCAAGUCAGGUGUGAAAGCCCCGAGCUUAACUCGGGAAUUGCAUCUGAAACUGCUGUGCUUGAGUUCUGGAGGGGGUAGUGGAAUUCCCAGUGUAGCGGUGAAAUGCGUAGAUAUUGGGGAGGAACACCUGCGGCGAAGGCGGCUACCUGGACAGAAACUGACGCUGAGGCGCGAAAGCUAGGGGAGCGAACGGG
rnacentral:rRNA from 1 species